UACGUAGGGUGCAAGCGUUAAUCGGAAUUACUGGGCGUAAAGCGUGCGCAGGCGGUGAUGUAAGACAGAUGUGAAAUCCCCGGGCUCAACCUGGGAACUGCAUUUGUGACUGCAUCGCUAGAGUACGGCAGAGGGGGGAUGGAAUUCCGCGUGUAGCAGUGAAAUGCGUAGAUAUGCGGAGGAACACCGAUGGCGAAGGCAAUCCCCCUGGGCCUGUACUGACGCUCAUGCACGAAAGCGUGGGGAGCAAACAGG
rnacentral:rRNA from 1 species